AAAUAGUAUAGUCUUCAAGCAUUUAUCGCAUUCAACAAUGGCUUAUCGCCACAACCAAUCUUUUUUCUUGGUAUUACUUGUCACUUUGUCGUUAACAAAUAGCUAUGUAAUUCAAGCGGAAGCGCGCCAUCUUCUUGAAGUAACUAUGCCCGAGAUUCCUAAGCCUGAAUUGCCACAUCUCCCGGAAAUCCCAACUUUGCCUAAGCCUGAAUUGCCACAUCUCCCGGAAAUCCCAACUUUGCUUAAGCCUGAAUUCCCUGAAAUUCCAAAACCUGAGUUGCCAACUCUGCCACAACCUGAAUUGCCUGAAUUCCCAAAGCCUGAGCUGCCUACUCUGCCAAUGCCUGAACUCCCCCCGAUACCAAAACUCGAGCUUCCUACAAUUCCUAAACCUGAACUCCCAACUUUGUCAAAGCCAGCAAUGACUCAGAAGCCUUGAGUCAAUUAUCCUCUUUGCUAGCUAAUUAUUGAAGCAGCGCUGCUGAUCAAUGUUAUAUGUCAUGUGUUUUUCUUUUGUUGUGCUGGAAUUGUUUGCAGCUUCCGUUUGGAAGGAUUAUCUAUGUGAUUUUUCUAUCUAUCAGUCGUUUGUAAUUCUUCUGGCACUAAAUACAGUAUACGUUUAUGUUUUUUAACUUUUAACUAUUGAAUAUUUUAAGUGGUUUGUGCGUGUGAUGAUUUUACUUUGUUUUUC
rnacentral:lncRNA from 1 species